rnacentral:rRNA from 1 species
UACGUAGGGGGCAAGCGUUAUCCGGAAUUAUUGGGCGUAAAGGGUACGUAGGCGGCUGGUCAAGUCUGGGGUCAAAGGCCACAGCUCAACUGUGGGAAGGCCCUGGAAACUGACCGGCUAGAGUGAGGUAGGGGUUGCGGGAAUUCCCGGUGUAGCGGUGAAAUGCGUAGAGAUCGGGAAGAACACCUGAGGCGGAAGCGCGCAACUGGGCCUCAACUGACGCUGAGGUACGAAAGCUAGGGGAGCGAAUGGG